AAAGAUUUCAACAAAAAUCUAUUAAGUUACAUGAAGAAUAUACAGGCAUUUUUGUGUUAUUUUAUAAGUUACACAUAAUACUAUCAUUUUGUAUAUAUAAAUAUUUUAUAAUAAAAAUAGAAGGCAUUUCUUUGUGUCAAAAUGUUAAGAGAAUCUUAAAAAUGGAAAACUAAUCAAAGGAAGAAACUUUGCAACCUUGGAGGCCAUCUAGUGCCCAAAUCUGAGAAUUACAGUUAAUGCCCAAUUUACAUGAUCUACUUAUAAUUUCACGGCCUAAAAAAAUAAACAGAAAAAAGAAAUUUACAGCAAAAUAAAGUAGAAUAGCAUAAUCCCAAAUUUUUUAAGUAAAAUUGUAUGUUUUUACAUUGAAUAUUUAAAAUUCACCCUCUCUUGGAAGGAUUACCCCAAAGAAUACGAUUCUAAAGUUUAAUUUUUGGGAGAUUUAUUUUAUUCUGCUUUAUAAUUAUUUGUGUAUACAGCUUAUCUAUCCCACAAUAUGUUCAGCUCCUUAUGGGUAAAUCCUUUGCCUUUUUAUCUUUAUAUAUCAUAACCCUUGGCAUUGUACUUGAAAUGCUUUAGAAACUCAUUUUUCGAUUUUAUUACUGGUAAUUUAGGUAGACACUAUUAUUAUCAUUAUUAUUGUUAUUUUUUUGCAGUGAGGGGGAUGGAACCCAGGGUUUUUCACAUGAUAAACAAACACUCUAUCCCUGGGCUAUACCCCCAGUGUUAGGUAGACAUUAUUAAAUUCUUUGAUGAGAUAUUUUACGUAGCUAUAUUUGAAAGCCAAAGAGAGUUUUGAGCGACACUUCAUAGUUUAAUGUAGUAGUCAAAGAAGUAGAUAAAUAGAUUACAUAAAAAUUCAAAAUUAUAAUAGAGCACAUUACAUUUAAAAAACAGUGGAAUAUGUCUGGAGGCUAGAAAAUGUGAAAUUUAACUAGGUUGUCUUAUGGGUACGACUGAUGUUUUAAAGAAACAAAGAUUUAUUAUCAUUUAAAAUACUAGGACUAAGAUGGCCGCGAAUAGAGUGCAUCACACCCUGUGUACCGUGCCACUGCGCAGGUGAAUAAUGAGUUAGAACGACAAAAAACUAUCUUGUUAGGAACUUACAGCAAAAUGGGGGUGCACCGAAACCUAGAGGAAGGAUUUCCAGCACUGAGGUCCGGUAAUUGAGUCUCAAACACGAGCCAACUGUGCGACCAGAGAUCCAGGCUGACUGAUCCGCGAGGCCCACCCCGCGGCUACAGACGGCGGGGCGCCACCGAGAAGCGACCAGCAAGCAGGGAGAAACGUUGCUGCGGAAUCUGUGGAAUCCUGCCUGCUGAGCCCUCACUGAGCCCCGGGCUGAGUUCGGGAUUUCAGAGGGGAAGGAAGCGGUACAGUUCUAUCCCCAACAACGGAAACUCCACCAAGGAAACCAGUGGCCACCAUCUUGGAGAGCUGAAGUAACCACCACCACUCUCCGACAGAUUGCAACAAUAAAACAGGUGUGUGUUACUCAGCUCAUCUCCCAUACAGUGGGGAAUUCGCAUAAAAUCUCUCCUAGGCUUUCCGGGGGAGGGAUUAUCAGAGUGAGCCUGCAUAAAGACUCGAGGAAGACUAGAGACACCUGACCUUCAACUCCCCCUCCCAUCAGCAGCAAAAACAAAACCUGUCUUGCCAGCGCUGGGGGAGGGGCAAGUAGAAAAAAUCAAAACAAUAGAGUGCUGGGGUUCCCAAUAGCCACCCUCCACACCCAACAAACGGCAGUCCCAGAAUACAGUUUGAACUGCCGAGAGGCAUCACUCAGGGGAAACCUGGUCUAGCAGGAGAAACCAGGGUUAGCAGGAGAAACCAGGGGACUAGAGGCCAGGCCCUCGCGACUGGGUGGCUGGAGACCGCACGCCCGCCCGCGACAGUCCACCCGCUGCCCGCGUGACUGGGCGGCUGGAGACCGCACGCCUGCCGGCGACCGG
rnacentral:lncRNA from 1 species